rnacentral:lncRNA from 1 species
UUGUCCCUUUCCUGGAUGGGGUUGAGGAUUUAUUGUCAAAUGGAGAUAGAAUCCUCUUUACCUAGAAAGGGUGGUCACCCCAGGUCAUCCUGGAGGGAAUGAAAGAGUACAUAGAAGCCUCAGCUGGCAGCUGCUCUUGCCUGGCUGUCAGUGAAUUUUCAAUACCUACCUAACCCAGUGCUUGACACCUCCUGCCUGUGUACCAAGUUGCUUCAGUCAUGUCCGACUCUGUGCAACCCUGUGGACC